AUUUUGAAGGGAUAAAAUUCAAGCCAUAAAAAUCAGCAACUUCAUAUAUAUAUUUCCCUAACUUACUUUGUUUUAUUUUCCAGGUCAUUGACUAACAACAUCAACAAUGAAAUGAAUCUGAGAAAACAGGAAAUUGAGAGCAAGAGAAAAAAAAGUUAAUUAUACUGAUUUUGUAUAAGACCCCUUUGAACACAUUUUUAAAAAAUCAAAUAGAAGGUGCCCAGGUCCACUGUGCCUUGUGAAUAUUUGUCUUGUAUAUCCUAGAGAUCUACGCAUUCAUGUGGGAAUUGAAAAGGACCCACAUUUUACUAGAAGCAUCGUUCAUUUUUGCCUCAAAACAAUGCCCACAUGUCAGAAGAACUUUCACAAUUCACAGGAACAGUGACCUAAUUAACCAACCAUAAAAUUGCCAAAUCCCUACUUCUCAUUGUUUAAUAUGCUUAGAAAACCCAUUCAAAUUGUGAAUUAUCAAGUGAGCUUACACUGAUAAAUAGAUCCAAUAUUUAGGAAUUUUUAAAUCUUCCAUUCCUUUUUUUUUUUUGUCUUUUUAAAAAUAGAACAUUAGAAUAUGUCCUCCAGGUUUUAGAGAUGGGGGAGACAUGCUUCCCUUUAUUUCUCAGUAACUCAGCCAAAAAAAAUCUGGAGAGAAUGCAAAGACAGCUACUGGAAACUUUGAAAAGUAGAUGUGAGCCCAUCAGGGAAGAGCUAGAGAAUCUGAAAUCUACUCGAAAAAGUGAGUUUGAUACUUUGUGUUCCUAUCCUAACUCCACACAGCCUGAAACUUGGAAGUGAGCAUGAUGGAGUGGAUACAGUGAGAUGCAGAAGAAAUCCUCCAGUUUGGGCUGGAAGGGAAAAAAGAGACCCCUAAAACUCAGAGACAGUGGAAGAAAUUCCUGGUGUUUUUUUCUUCUCUUUUUCUCUGUUCUUCCACAUAGCAAUUUAGUAUUGACUACAGCAUCUCUGUUACAAUGAUAGCACCGAAAUGUUGUAACCAUAUGGCCUGCAAAGCCAAAAAUACUUAUCUGACCAUCUACAGGAAAAGUUUGCUGAUCUGGAUGAAAUAUUCUGAUACUAAAUAUUCCAUUUUGAGGCUGAUAUUCCUAAUCUAUUCAUAAGGAUGGCAUAUCUACCCAGUGGGCCUGCUGGGACUCCAGUUACCCGAUGCACAUACAUUGCUUGGUGUGGCAGUUUCGUGUGCAUUUUUGGUGAUGAUGCUCCACGGAACAUCUGCAGAUGUGCUGUCAAUUUGGACAGCUCUGACUACCGAGUGAAUGGGAAGUACUAACGAGAACUGUCUGCUUGGGAACUCCAUGAAGUUCGUGGCUUUUGUGAUUGAAAUAGCAUCAAUAAAAGGUUGACACUGUGGAACAACACAAGCCUGCAUGGACCUGGUUAUCUCUGACCUCGCACCACUCAUGAGACCAUACCUGAGCCCUACUCCACUUUGGCAGAACUGUUGCAUGGCCUCUCUUCAUAUAAUACCUCUCCGUACACCGUACACCGCAGCUCAAAGAAAGGAUAUAUGCUCCCUGUGAAGACUAAUGGAACUGUCCCUCCUGAUCCUCCUACAGACUUCCUCUGGCCUAAUGGGUGCACCAUUGCAUUAUAUCUGCCAUCUAUACACACAUAUACCUUUCAACCCUGCACUCUCUGAGAUGACUGGACUCAUGCCUAAAUAACUGAUGCUGUCCCUAGUGUAAGGAAGCUGCCUGACGAGGAGCUGUACGGAAAUAAGAGUAAUUCAGUGAUGGGGUCCAAGCAUCCUGAAUAUAAGCGGUCCAUGUCAAGAAAGAGCCAAAGGGCGUCCUCAGGACAUGGAAGAGGGGCAUUCCAGGCUGGCAGCUGGGGAGGCCCAGAGAGCCCUGGAGAAGAUCUGAAGUCCAUUGCAGAGCUUUCUUU
rnacentral:lncRNA from 1 species